rnacentral:rRNA from 1 species
GACGAACGCUGGCGGCGUGCUUAACACAUGCCAGUCGAACGGAAAGGCCCUGCUUUUGGGGGGGGCUCGAGUGGCGAACGGGUGAGUAACAAGUGAGUAACCUGCCCUUGACUUUGGGGUAACUUCAGGAAACUGGGGCUUAUACCGGAUAGGAGCUCCUGCUGGAUGGUGGGGGGUGGAAAGGUUCGGCGGUUGGGGAUGGACUCGCGGCUUAUCAGCUUGUUGGUGGGGUAGUGGCUUACCAAGGCUUUGACGGGUAGCCGGCCUGAGAGGGUGACCGGCCACAUUGGGACUGAGAUACGGCCCAGACUCCUACGGGAGGCAGCAGUGGGGAAUAUUGCACAAUGGGCGGAAGCCUGAUGCAGCAACGCCGCGUGCGGGAUGACGGCCUUCGGGUUGUAAACCGCUUUCGCCUGUGACGAAGCGUGAGUGACGGUAAUGGGUAAAGAAGCACCGGCUAACUACGUG